UACAGAGGGUGCAAGCGUUAAUCGGAAUUACUGGGCGUAAAGCGUGCGUAGACGGUUAUGUAAGUCGGGUGUGAAAGCCCCGGGCUCAACCUGGGAAUGCCAUUCGAGACUGCAUAGCUAGGGUGCGGAAGAGGGAAGCGGAAUUUCCGGUGUAGCGGUGAAAUGCGUAGAGAUUGGAAAGAACACCGAUGGCGAAGGCACUUUACUGGGCUAUUACUAACACUCAGAGACGAAAGCUAGGGUAGCAAAUGGG
rnacentral:rRNA from 1 species